rnacentral:rRNA from 1 species
AUUGAACGCUGGCGGCAGGCUUAACACAUGCAAGUCGAACGAGUGGCGGACGGGUGAGUAAUGCUUGGGAAUCUAGCUUAUGGAGGGGGAUAACUACGGGAAACGGUAGCUAAUACCGCAUACCAUCAGAUGUGCCCAGAUGGGAUUAGCUAGUAGGUGGGGUAAUGGCUCACCUAGGCGACGAUCCCUAGCUGGUCUGAGAGGAUGACCAGCCACACUGGAACUGAGACACGGUCCAGACUCCUACGGGAGGCAGCAGUGGGGAAUAUUGCACAAUGGGCGCAAGCCUGAUGCAGCCAUGCCGCGUGUGUGAAGAAGGCCUUCGGGUUGUAAAGUUCUUUCGGUAGCGAGGCGUUAACUACAGAAGAAGCACCGGCUAACUCCGUGCCAGCAGCCGCGGUAAUAC